UACGUAGGUGGCAAGCGUUGUCCGGAAUUAUUGGGCGUAAAGCGCGCGCAGGCGGUCUCUUAAGUCUGAUGUGAAAUCCCGUGGCUUAACCACGGGCGGUCAUUGGAAACUGGGGGACUUGAGUGCAGAAGAGAAGAGCGGAAUUCCACGUGUAGCGGUGAAAUGCGUAGAGAUGUGGAGGAACACCAGUGGCGAAGGCGACUCUUUGGUCUGUAACUGACGCUGAGGCGCGAAAGCGUGGGGAGCAAACAGG
rnacentral:rRNA from 1 species